UCGUCUGACUUGGGUAUAGG
rnacentral:snRNA from 1 species